rnacentral:rRNA from 1 species
CCUACGGGAGGCAGCAGUGGGGAAUCUUGCGCAAUGGGCGAAAGCCUGACGCAGCCAUGCCGCGUGAAUGAUGAAGGUCUUAGGAUUGUAAAAUUCUUUCACCGGGGACGAUAAUGACGGUACCCGGAGAAGAAGCCCCGGCUAACUUCGUGCCAGCAGCCGCGGUAAUACGAAGGGGGCUAGCGUUGCUCGGAAUUACUGGGCGUAAAGGGCGCGUAGGCGGAUCGUUAAGUCAGGGGUGAAAUCCCAGAGCUCAACUCUGGAACUGCCUUUGAUACUGGCGAUCUUGAGUAUGAGAGAGGUAUGUGGAACUCCGAGUGUAGAGGUGAAAUUCGUAGAUAUUCGGAAGAACACCAGUGGCGAAGGCGACAUACUGGCUCAUUACUGACGCUGAGGCGCGAAAGCGUGGGGAGCAAACAGGAUUAGAUACCCUGGUAGUCCACGCCGUAAACGAUGAUUGCUAGUUGUCGGGCUGCAUGCAGUUCGGUGACGCAGCUAACGCAUUAAGCAAUCCGCCUGGGGAGUACGGUCGCAAGAUUAAAACUCAAAGGAAUUGACGG